CAGUGCCCACAGACCAGGCACUUACGACACCCUCGGGAUAUAAAGGCACCUGUGCUUGGCACUGCCACCAGCGCCUCCCACCCCUGCUGGCUCGCUCCCUGCUUGGGGCCAGUGCUGA